CUACAGAAAUUCUAACUUCUGCUUAACAUUAGCAUCAGCAUUCUCACCAAGAGCAUCACUGCCCAUGUGUCCUUCUGAGAUUCUCAUCUAUCAUGCUUUUACAAUUACCAACCUCCAACCAUACAAGCAAAUAAACAGGAGAAAGUGCAUUGGAGAAACAGCAAAGCACAGAACAGUCCACAGAGACAGGCAGAGACAGCAACGGACCCCACCACAACUAAGUCCACAGGGACCUUGGAAUCCAAGCCCACAGGAGUACUGUAGUUCCUCACACCCUGUGAACACAGACAUGGGCCUGAAUGCUUCCUGGGCAGUGAGUGGCUGCCCCACCUCACAGUUCAGAGGAAAGAUGCCACUUGGAACUGGCGGCAGACGCGUAAGAUGUUAAUUUCACAAUACUGAGCACGUCAUUUCUUCCCAUGAGGCUGAAGAGCACAGUGAUUAGAACACAGGCUCAGGAGUCACAAAGAACCGGGUCCAGAUCCCUCUUAGCCCUCAAGAGGAGGAAGCUGACCUUCAGUUUCUUCACUUCUUUUACCUAUCUAUCUAUCUAUCUAUCUAUCAUUUUUUUUCUAGUUUCUUCACUUCUAAGGCAGAGGUGCCACCACUGCCUUGUCGGACUGGUGCUGGAAUAGAAGGAGAUCAUGGAGGUGGUGCAUUUAGCACAUAAGACAUGGAACAAGUUACUAUUACUGGCAUCUUUUGCGUGUGUCAAGGAAAGGACUUCUUUGCAAACUCAACUAAAUAAUGCAUAGUGGUCAAUCUCAUGUAGGGCCACUACUCUACCUCACUUAGGAUGAAGAGGUAGUGUGUCGUCAAACUCCUGAAUUCUAGUUUACUUGGCACUCAAAAUCACUACCAAUACAAAAGGACAAUGCAAACCCAAAUAAAGGGCUGCAAGGUGUGCUGCAUGACUGAGGCCUCACAGGAGCUGUGGGAGAGCUGAGUCACCACACAAGGUAUGGUCACCUAAGGACGAAUUCCAAAGAUCUGGAUUCACAUUAUCAACAAUUUUUGGAGACGUCAUCAGAUUUCUUACAGUUACCAAGUGUCAAAGAAUUAUAAAAAUAGCAGAAGGAAAUAAAUAUAACCUUUCCUUUCUGAUGAAGCACAUAGUAUGCCUCGAGGUCAUCAUCUUGAACGUCCUUUAUCUUUGAAUUCAGGAAUAUUCAUGUUUUUUGACAAACAAAUGAAAGAUUUCUGGACUGUUUCUGGGGGGAAAAAAAAAAAAACAAACUCCUCCAAGGAUAUGUUCUGUAUUGGAG